UACGUAGGGUGCGAGCGUUUGUCCGGAAUUAUUGGGCGUAAAGAGCUUGUAGGCGGUUUGUCGCGUCUGCCGUGAAAAAUUCGAGGCUCAACCUCGAACUUGCGGUGGGUACGGGCAGACUAGAGUGUGGUAGGGGGAGACUGGAAUUCCUGGUGUAGCGGUGAAAUGCGCAGAUAUCAGGAGGAACACCGGUGGCGAAGGCGGGACUCUGGGCCGAUACUGACGCUGAGGAGCGAAAGCGUGGGGAGCAAACAGG
rnacentral:rRNA from 1 species